rnacentral:rRNA from 1 species
UACGUAGGGGGCGAGCGUUGUCCGGAUUUAUUGGGCGUAAAGAGCUCGUAGGCGGUUUGGCAAGUCGGAUGUGAAAUCUCCAGGCUCAACCUGGAGGGGUCAUUCGAAACUGCUAUGACUAGAGUUCGGUAGAGGAGUGUGAAUUCCUGGUGUAGCGGUGAAAUGCGCAGAUAUCAGGAGGAACACCGGUGGCGAAGGCGGUUCUCUGGGAAUGUCCUGACGCUGAGGAGCGAAAGUGUGGGGAGCGAACAGG